AAUAACAGGAAUGAACAGGAUGAUAACGAUGAUGCUGACAUUAACUGGAAAUUUAUUGCCUCAAGACCCUUCAAUACUCCUUCCAGCCAAGACAGUGAUCUUUUUUUUUUUUUUUCUUUUUUUUUUCUUUUUAGGGUCGCUGUGCGGCAUAUGGAGGUUCCCAGGCCAGGGGUCAAAUCAGAGCUACAGCUGCUGGCCUAUACCACAGCCACAUCAACACAGGAUCCAAACUGAGUCUGCGACCUACACCACAGUUCACAGCAAUACCGGAUCCUUAACACACUCAGCGAGGCCAGGGAUUGAACCCACAACCUCAUGGUUCGUAGUCGGAUUCGUUUCCGCUGCGCCAUGACGGGAACACCCAAGACAGUGAUCUUGGGUAUCAAGCACGCACAGGAGGAGGUCCUCCUUGGUUAGAUGAUGGGAAGAGGGAGCAGGAGUGGAGGAGACUAUUUCCUAAGUGACAAAGGGAAAAACUACAGACUAUGGUGACAAAGACACUGAGACCUCAAAUGCAGAUUACAAAACUUCAGUCAUGGACAUAAUCUAAAUUCAAAAAACACGCUAUCGUUGCAAAGCUCUUUCUUACACAGAAGCAAAUCUGAUCCACACAAAUGGAUACAUGAUAAAGGACAGUGUAAAAGGUUAAUGACAGAAUCUUGCCUACGCCCUAGACCAAUGGUUCUCAACCAGGGCAAUUUUAUGCCACUUCCCCAGGGACAUUUGGCAAUGUCUGGAGACACUCUGAUGGUCACAGCUGGGGCAGGGCACUGGAAUCAAGUGGGCAGAGUCCUAGGAUGCUGCUAAACAUCCCAUAAAACCCAGGACAGUCUGCAUCACAGCAUGUAUCCUGCCCAACAUGUCAGCAGUUCUAAGGCAGAGGAACUCUGAUCUGGAGGUAUUACCUUCACAUCUGACCCGCUGUAGGCCUGCCCACCCCAACCAAAUGUGAAAAUUCUUCCUCAUUCCCUCCUGGAUCCGAGGAUCGCUCAAUUCCAGACAAAUGAUAAAACAUCCGCGCUUCGGCAUAUAAAUCAUCUUCAAUUAAGACAUUUCUGUUGGAAAGCGCUUUUGGCAGGACAAACGAAAUAUUUGCCACUGUUCUCCGACUUGGAGCUUUCAAGGUUGGCAGGGCGAUUUAUUUUUGUUGAUUAAACAAAAUACAAAUGGAAAGAGCCUAAAAAUUGAUUCGCCAAUUAAACUCAAUGAUUCUCAACAAUAAAAUGUGCUCUAUUAGCUCUGCCAGCGUUAUAAAAAUGCCUCCUCGCUUUCCUGCUGUUUUCAAGCGUUACACCAUGGAUAUUUGUGCUGACAGAAAGAUUAAGUAAGGACUGGAUUAUGCAAAAUUUGUCUUUCCUUUUGCUGGAAAGGAAGGAAGAGAAAUGAUUAACGGCCUGGGCCAUUUCAGGAAGGAGGUCUGCUCAGCAUGUGUAAUUCUUGAAAGAAUGAUUCGGGUUGCGGAAGCAAGCCACUGUCACUCAUUUCGUGUGCCCUUAUUCUUUGGCAAAUUACAGAUUGACUAAUAGAGGCCAAUUUGUUGAGAUGACAACAAUCAUAAAUAUCCAAACUCUUCAUUUUCUCCUGUCACUUUUCAAGGGGACGGGUGUCCAGGGAGGCCGUCAACCAAAUGACAGGUGUCAGAUGCUUCUGCAAAAUGGACCCAAUGUACAGAGUGGCACCAUAACCCUAUUUCGGGUCCAGCGCACAUUUUUUCUGAAUGGCAACCAUGAGGUCCAGGCCACAACUGCAAGAAAUGCACAGAAAAUCGCCAGCAAACCGGGCCAGCAGAAUGCUGAUGCUUCCUGGUGGUCAGAGCACGGAUGUCACGGGCUGCUAUGCAUUUUUAAACUUGAUUGUACAUAAUUGUUAAUCAGUGACCCAUUCUCCAACCCUCCUGGGCUGGAACAUGUUGCUAGGCAACCAAUUUUGCUCCAGAUACUUUCUGAAAGCCAGAGAGGCAACAACCAAGUGUCAACUCUGUGCAUACUAACCAUUAGAGACAGGUUCAAAUUAAAAAAGGAUGCCUGGUUUCCGUAAAGCACGUCCAUCUCACAUCCUUUCCUUACGUAGACACAUAUUUCCAUGUCCGACAACUCAGCACAUAAGCUCUCUUAGGUUGAAUGGGAUGAAAUUGCCCUUUUGGUAGCUCAAUUUGGCAAUUCAUACAGUUCAACCUUAUAAUUUCAGAGAGGUUCGCACAGCCUCUAAAACAGAGGAACCAUAAUUCUCUGCCGGUCUAAUCACAAUUGUGCUUUGUAUCAGAAACAUAUCAUUGACCUAGUCCACGUUUUCUGGAAGUUGUUUUUAUAAGAGACGGCUGGGAGAGGGAGCCCACAUCAUUAUACAAAUGCCUGAAUAAGCAAUCGCAUCUCUUUUUCCAUUUUAGACUAUUACAAACUGAUCCUUUUUUUUUUUUUUUU